AUAGUCAAAUCAUAGUGUAAAAGCAUGUGAGGCGGUUCUAGUUGUUUUGGGCCAUUUUCUGAGCAUAACACAUCGACCCUCGAAACUCCCCUUUUCACACAACCAGCUUUCAUUCUCCCUGUCACGAGGGAAUUGAUGGCUGAUUUAAGAUGAAAUCGUCAACCCUAUUACGGUCAAACCUGUUACAGUCAACCCUGUUACUUUAUUUGGCACUUAAUAGGCACUUACUAUUGUCAUUUUUGUUAUUUAACCUCUUGAGAUGGGAAACAUGUUUUAAUUAAUUUGAACAUGUGUUCUUUAUGACAUCAUGUUAAAAUGAGGCGAAAUCAAACGUUUUGUUUUUACCAAGAUACACUUCUCGAAAGGCACCGAAUUGUUAGAACCACCCAGCUACAGGUCUAGCAGAAAUACUACUACAGCACAGUGGAAUGGCUGUCGCACGUGUACAGAGGGUCAGGGGUCACAAGGUCAGGAUUCAGAUAUGUACACUUAAUAUUUCAUAAAACUCUAUUUAGCUGGUAUUUAUCUAGUAUUCAUUUAGCUGGUAUUUAUCUAGUAUUCGGAAGGAAAUUAAGUGGUAACAAAUGGAACCUUCUGUAACCAAAUUAUACAUGCCAAUGAAUUCUAAGAAACUAAAAUGUAAUUAUUAGGUAACUAACUACUAUUUUACCAUGCAAAUUCAAAGUAAAUACCAGGUAAAUACUGGACUGUAAAAUAACGUGUAACCAAUAUCUCUCAGGUAGGGACCUCAGAUAUCUUGUUCCAACACUUAUAGUCAGAAAUGAAUCAAAACGUAACCAAACCCUUCCCAUUUUUGUUCUUAUUUCUGUUCUUACUGUUUUUUGGUCAAAUUUCAACUUCUGACUUGUGAUUCAAAUCCAAAACUAAUCUAAAAUAAAAUAAUUUUUUUCUUCCUCGAUUUACACAUACAUUUGUCAAAAAUAGUCCCUCUGAAAAAUAUAUUGCAUAUGCCAUUUUAAGAAAUUGACAUAAAAUAGUUUCGAUAAGGAGAAAUUGUAAAGUAGGAGAAUAUAUGACUUAUUAUAUAUUUUUUUUAAACAAUCUGAGCACCAAUAGGAAGAAAAUGCCUAUUGAUCAUUUUAAAUUUAAACUUAUAUAUGAUUUUUCAUAUACACGCUUUGUUUAGUCGCUAUUUUGGGGUAUGAUUCCAACUGUUAGAAUGGAGAAAGUUUAAGAUGGCUUUUGGGUAUUAUUCAAAACUUUGCAGAUUAGGCCAGCAAAAGAACAUUUGCACAGUAAGAAAGCAAUCCAAGGUACUCUUUCCUAUUAAAAAGUACCAACUCAGUCAGACACUGCCGUUUGUCUAGGACUAAACGUGACAGACAGACACGUUUAGGUUACAAGGCAAUGUUGAAUGAUUGUGGUUUAAAAAAAAAAACAACACAUCUCAAUAACGUGUAUCAAAAAUACAUUUUUCAGAGAUUCCAACCCAAACCUCUGAGACAUCACAUUACAUCAUUCCGCACAGCGAGUUACACCAAUAUGCCAGCUCAUACCUGAACCACCUGGGCAGUGUGGAUACAUACCAAUAAUACCAGUGUGGAUCCACGAUCUACAGGAAUGAUUUAUCAGCGUACACAUUAUUUCAUUAGAUGGAUAUGACAGGUAACAUAUAGACCAGGGCCAACCGUCCUCCUGGAGAGCUACUGGGAAUGCAGUAGCUCGCUAAGAGUAAGGUAGUCCACCCCUGAAGUAACACAUAGAUAGUAUGCUGGCGGAUGUCUCUAAUAGUAAAACACAUGAAGUAGUUAUGCAUUGAUAAAGUUGCCAUGACACAGCCUUAGUUUCCAUUCUCUACUAAGCACACAGACAGUAAUAAUACACAGUAUUGUCUCCCGUUAUAAUAUAUUAGUAGCUGAACAUAAAUCAGAACACAAUCAUAGACGUUCUAAUUAAGGAAUGGAUUAGUGCAAUCUAACGAGGGAGGGAAGGAGACGAGAGGAGGGAGGAGAAGACUAGGAGGAGGAGGAGGAAAGGAGUGGUGGGUGGUGCUCUGCUUUGUGACAUCCUUUGGUUUAUCUUGGAGAGGGCGGAGCUUCGAAGGGUGGAAAAGGACGGGGAAUCGAAUUAGAAUGAGUAGAAGGGAAACGUUCCACUACAUAUGGAUUAGCGGCCAUAUUGGAUGUCCCAUGUUAGAAUGUUGAAUGAAUUGAUGCUUAUCACUUGGAAUCCAUGAGAAUUUUCAGUGUUCUACACAAACAACAACGGCAAAUUGUGUUUUGUCGCACAUAUUGGGUGGGCCAGGUGAAAUCGAUGUGGAUUUUGACUUUGUCCAUUCUACUCAUCCAAUUUCUAUGGGGUGAGACUAGCUGCCUUAAGCCCUACCUUCAAGUCACAAGGCAAGUUAUGGGGAACAACAAUAUUACAAAAAGUUAAGAUAGACAUGUAUAAUAAGCAAUGGUGUCUGCAAUACCUUAGAAUUCCACCCUUUUGAACACUCCAGAGAGGUGGGCACUUACAUCAUCAACAAUCCUCCUUUUGAUAGGCCAAUGCAGAGCCAGAGAGGUGUUAGUCUCUCUACUAAGGGGGCUCACAAUUGGACCGUUCGACAAAAGCACAACGGCAAUCCUCAUUUAGGAACAGAAAAAGGGGGUAGGGGGGGAUCUCAAAUGACCCUAUUCUCCAUAUAGUGCACUGUCUUUGACCAAAGGCCUAUACAGUUCCCUACUAAGUAGUGCACUACAUGGGAAAUAGGGUAUGAUUUGAGACUCAGCUAGAGCUGAAGGUUAGUGUGUUGUGUUCUGUUGUCACAAAGCAAGAGAGAGUGUUCAGUGUUUCCCUUAGGAUUUUUUCCAGCAGCGGUGGCAAAGUUAACGUGGGGGGCGGGGGGGUUGGCUUGGUAGUAUGCGUGUCCAAUGGUGUGGAAACACAUUUCCUGCAAUUCUACAGAUUUUGGCAUGAGGCCGAGAGAAAAUGUUACUGUUUUAAAGCUAGUAAAGUAGUGUUUCCUGUGUUCUUAAACCAGGGGUAGGCAACUAGAUUUUGCAACGGGACAUUUUUGUUCAAGCGGAUCGUUGGGGAUCCGGAAUAUAUUUAUAAUAAUUUGUACACUGCAAAUUGGCCUUGAUUACAUUGAGACAUGAUCACAUGUCUCUUUUUAUUUGUGGGGAUACUUGGGAAAAUAUUUCCUAAAUUAAAGUAUUAUUUUGCUCUAUUCCUGGUGAUUUUGAAGUCUUUUUAAAAAAAUCAAAAACGUAAAAAUAUGCAGAGCCUGUAGCUGACCCCUGUCUUAUGCUAUCUGAGUGACUUAAACAUUAUAACAAAAUCAAUGGGGCGCCAUGACAUUUUUUGAAUUCUUGAUUUUCCCUGACUGUCUAUAUUUUAUUCUGGUGGUUGUUAGUUUAAAAAAAUGUAUAUAUAUAGCUCCAUUAUCUAUUCUACAUACUUUAUAUGUAGUUUUAGUCAUUUAGGUUUACACAGAAAACUUUUUACCAUCCCAAUUUUUAUAUUUACAGUACCAGUCAAAAAUUUGGACACACAAGACCAGCUCUAGGAAGAAAUGCAGAAAUGUUUUGGUACCCUCUGUGCCUCGAUACAAUCCUGUCUCGGAGCUCUACGAACAAGUCCUUCGACCUCAUGGCUUGGUUUUUGCUCUGACAUGCAAUGUCAACUGUGGGACCUAAAAUAGACAGGUGUGUGCCUUUUGAAAUCAUGUCCCAUCAAUUGAAUUUACCACAGGUGGACUCCAAAUUGUAGAAACAUCUCAAGGAUGAUCAAUGGAAAAAUGAUUCACCUGAGCUUAUGUAAAUCAGGUGUUUCUUUUUUUGUUGGUUUUAAAUUAGCAAAAAUGUCUAAAAACCUGUUUUCACUUUGUCAUUAUGGGGUAUUGUGUGUAGAUUGAUGAGGAUUUGUAUUUAUUUAAUACAUUUUAGAAUAAGGCUGUAACUGAACAAAAUGUGGCAAAAGGGAAGGGGCAUGAAUACUUUCCGAAUGCACUGUAUGCCUUGAUGACAGCUUUGCACACUCUUGGCAUUCUCUCAACCAGCUUCACCUGGAAUGUUUUUCAACAGUCUUGAAGGAGUUCUCACAUAGCUGAAAACUUCGGGAUGCUGGCUUCUAGGCAGAGUUCCUCUGUCUAGUGUUCUUUUGCCCAUCUUAAUCUUUUCUUUUUAUUGGCCAGUCUGAGAUAUGGCUUUUUCUUUGCAACUCUGCCUAGAAGGCCAUCAUCCCGGAGUCGCCUCUUCACGGUUGAUGUUGAGACUGGUGUUUUGCGGGUACUAUUUAAUGAAGCUGCCAGUUGAGGACUUGUGAGGCGUCUAUUUCUCAAACUAGACACCCUAAUGUACUUGUCCUCUUGCUAAGUUGUGCACCGGGGCCUCCCAAUCCUCUUUCUAUUCUAUUAAGUUUUCAGCUGUGCUAACAUAAUUGCAAAAGGGUUUUCUAUUGAUCAAUUAGCCUUUUAAAAUGAUAAACUUGGAUUAGCUAACACAACGUGCCAUUGGAACAUAGGAGUGAUGGUUGCUGAUAAUGGGCCUCUGUACGCCUAUGUAGAUAUUCCAUUAAAAAAUCAGCUGUUUCCAGCUACAAUAGUCAUUUACAACAUGAACAAUGUCUACACUGUAUUUCUGAUCAAUUUGAUGUUAUUUUAAUGGACAAAAAAGGACAUUUCUAAGUGACUCCAAACUUUUGAACGGUAGUUAUAUAUAUAUAUAUAUAUAUAUAUAUACAUGCACAGUGUAGGGAUGCACGAUAUAUCGGUAAGCAUAUCAGAAUCGGACGAUAUUAGCUAAAAAUGCCAGCACUGGCCCGAUGUCUAGUUUAACGCUGAAGUGCAAAACCGAUGUCAAAGCUGACGUGCAUACCUAUAUAACAUAGGUAGAUGACAUAAUGACGCCACGAAAAAUACAGCUCUACACAGAACAAAAGCAGAAAAAUACUAAGCACACACUUCCAACAACUAAACAAGUUCAAGUCGAGCAGUCAUUUGAAAGAGUAAGACAUUUUCAGUGAGACAACACCAAGGCGAAAUCCAUUAACGCCAAGAUAAUGGAAUUCAUUGCCCUUGACAAUCAACCGGUCACUGUCGUGGAUGAUGUUGGCUUUCGCCAACUGAUCCAGCACCUCGAGCCCCAGUACACACUACCAAGAAUGCGCUAUUUUUCAGAUGUUGCCCUACCGGAGUUACACAGUAUUUUUGAAACGCACAUCCCUGAGCUACUUGCUAUGGGUGUCACUGCUAUUAGCUUCACGACUGAAAUUUGGACCAGUGAUGUCAGCCCCAUGAGCAUGCUGAGUCUGACAGCACAGUGGGUCGACGAGGAUUUCAUACUGAGGAAAGCCGUAUUGCAUGCUCAAGAAUGUGCUGGUUCUCAUACUGCUGCUCUUUCAAUGGCAUUUGAGAACAUGUUUGAAACUCGGAAACAUGAACACACUCCUAGCUCCAUUCGAACAACUGACUGGAGAAAUAAACUCUUCAACUGCAUCUGCAGCAGACGUGAUACCCUCGGUCAUGGCAUUGAAACACCUGCUCAACAAAACUGCCGACACAGACCGUGGGGUUAAAACUUGUAAAAGUACUCUACAAGAGGCAGUGAAUAAGCGAUUCGGUGGCAUUCUCUCUGAGCCUCUUUACUGUGUUGCCACCAUGCUCGAUGCUAGUUACAAGAACCACUACUUCGAUGCAGACAAGAAACGGUUUACAUGAAAUGUUACAGACACAGCUUGACAAGAUGGAAACGGACACAGUGACAAUGCGCACCGAGGAAGAGAGGCCACGGACAGAGCUAAAACUUCACUGCUUGACAUGUAUGAUGAAAUCCUGGUCGAGACUGAACAAAUGAACAACGAAACAGCAUAGCAAGUAAGUGAAAGAAAUAGGUUUUCCUGGUAAUGGGGACAUACAGUGCCUUGCAAAAGUAUUCACCCCCUUGGCAUUUUUCCUAUUUUGUUUUCUUACAACCUGGAAUUAAAAUUUAUUUUUGGGGGGGUUGUAUCAUUUCAUUUACACAACAUGCCUACCACUUUGAAGAUGCAAAAUAUUCUUUUUAUUGUGAAACAAACAAGAAAUAAGACAAAACUAUUCAUAACUAUUCACCCCCCCCCCCAAAGUCAAUACUUUGUAGAGACACAUUUUGCAGAAAUUACAGCUGCAAGUCUCUUAGGGUAUGUCUCUAGAAGCUUGGCACAUCUAGCCACUGGGAUUUUUGCACAUUCUUCAAGGCAAAACUGCUCCAGCUCCUUCAAGUUGGAUGGGUUCCUGCUGGUGUACAGCAAUCUUUAAGUCAUACCACAGAUUCUCAAUUGGAUUGAGGUCUGGGCUUUGACUAGGCCAUUCCAAGACAUUUAAAUGUUUUCCCUUAAACCACUCAAGUGUUGGUUUAGCAGUAUGCUUAAGGUCAUUGUCCUGCUGGAAGGUGAACCUCUGUCCCAGUCUCAAAUCUCUGGAAGACUGAAUCAGCUUUCCCUCAAGAAUUUCCCUGUAUUUAGCGCCAUCCAUCAUUCCUUCAAUUCUGACCAGUUUCCCAGUCCCUGCCGAUUAUUAAAAACAUCCCCACAGCAUGAUGCUGCUACCACCAUGCUUCACUGUGGGGUUGGUGGUGUUCUCGGGGUGAUGAGAGGUGUUGGGUUUGCGCCAGACAUUUUCCUUUAUGGCCAAAAAGCUUCAUUUUAAUCUCAUCUCACCAGAGUACCUUCUUCCAUAUGUUUGGGGAGUCUCCCACACGCCUUUUGGCGAACACCAAAUGUGCUUGCUUAUUUUUUUCUUUAAGCAAUGGCUUUUUUCUGGCCAGUCUUCCGUAAAGCCCAGCUCUGUAGAGAGUACGGCUUAAAGUGGUCCUAUGGACAGAUACUCCAAUCUCCGCUGUGGAGCUUUGCAGCUCCUUCAGGGUUAUCUUUGGUCUCUUUGUCGCCUCUCUGAUUAAUGCCCUUCUUGCCUGGUCUGUGAGUUUUGGUGGGCGGCCCUCUCUUGGCAGGUUUGUUGUGGUGCCAUAUUCUUUCCAUUUUUUAAUAAGGGAUUUAAUGGUGCUCCGUGGGAUGUUCAAAGUUUCAUUUUUUUUUUAUAACCCAAACCUGGUCUGUACGUCUCCACAACUUUGUCCCUGACCUGUUUGGAGAGCUCCUUGGUCUUCAUGGUGCCGCUUGCUUAGUGGUGUUGUAGACUCUGGGGCCUUUCAGAACAGGUGUAUAUAUACUGAGAUCAUGUGACAGAUCAUGUGACACUUAAAUAAAGUUCACCUGUGUGCAAUCUAACUAAUUAUGUGACUUCUGAAGGUAAUUGGUUGCACCAGAUCUUAUUUAGGGGCUUCAUAUCAAAGGGGGUGAAUACAUAUGCACACACCACUUUUCCGUUUUAAAUUCUUUUUAAGUUCUUUUUUAAAUAUCAUUUCACCAAUUUGGACUAUUUUAUGUAUGUCCAUUACAUGAAAUCCAAAUAAAAAUCAAUUUAAAUUACAGGUUGUAAUGCAACAAAAUAGGAAAAACGCCAAGGGGGUGAAUACUUUUGCAAGGCACUGUACGUAAAUGCCAACAAAAAAUGUGUGUGUGUGUGUGUGUGUGUUUCAACUAUUUAACUGUACCAGAAUACUUAAAAGGCCGCUAAAAUGUUAAAUAUCGGUAUCGUUUUUUUGGCAAGGAAAAUAUUGGAUAUCGGAAUUGGGGGAAAAUGUCAUAACGGUGCAUCCCUAAUACAGUGCAUUCGGAAAGUACUCAGGCCCCUUCCCUUUUUCCACAUUUUGUUACUUUACAGCAUUAUUCUAAAAUUGAUUAAAUCAUUUUUAAUCACACCUCCUCCAUGCUUGGGAGGAGGGAACCACACAUGAGGAGAUAAUCUGUUCACCUACUCUGCAUCCUUGAGUAGUGGCAUUUCGACCAUGAAGGCCUGAUUCACGCAGUCUCCUCUGAACAGUUGAUGUUGAGAUGUGUCUGUUA
rnacentral:lncRNA from 1 species